rnacentral:lncRNA from 1 species
GGCUCCUCGGGCUUUCGCUGACGUCGACGUGCAUCGUGAUCCUCGAGAGGCAAAGCCGGCGACCCUAAGUAAGGGAGAAGAAACGCCAUCACUUAAAAAGACAGGAAUCCCGGCGGAACUCGUGCGAGACAUCGCGCAGUUCGGAGUUAACGCGGCGACGGAAAGAAUUCUCGCCUCGAUCGAAAAGGAAGUGUCGCUUCCGUAGACGACUUCAUGACUCCAUCCUACACCACGCCUUCCCCGCCGCAGACUCGCGCACGCAGAGCAUGCUCCUGCUGACUAGGGAGGCCUCACCUGUCGAUUCCUCGCCGCGGCGUCCGUCUCCACCUAGCCGGCCACAGAAGUCCGUGCAUUUCACCAAGCAGCUCGCUACCGCGCUUUACGGCCCCGCAGCUGCCAUCGGUGGCCCCCAUUGUAAGGCCCGACUUAGAUGCAGCGGCAGAAGUGGACUGGUCCUUACAUACACCGGAACGACUAUAUAAUAAAAAAUCUAAGCGAGGCGCCGCAGUUGAAGGGGUUAUGGAAGUAUCCGAGCGCCCAACGGUGCUCGUAUGAACAUCCACACUGUGAGUAGGGAGAAAAAGAGACCACUUCCUAUUUUCUCAGUUGCUUUGUAUUUUCUGUGCUGUUCGGUGCGUGAUCUUUUCCAAGUUCUCUUUGUGCUCCCAAAGUGUUAAAAUGUGCUUUCCUUCGUUAACUUCUGAGGCCUCUGUUCCCGUGCCUGUACCUGUAUCGGAGGGGGGGUGAGGAAAAUGUAGAGGGUCUAGAGGUUGGGGAGCCUGUAGGUGGGGUUUAUAUUCCUGAAAACCCGUAUGAGGAAUCGGAUGAUUCAGAGGAUGAGGAUUUGAAUCCUAUUUUAGUAAUAAGGCGUUAUGAGGAGGUGAGAGAGCGAGUCUUUUGUUUUGUUAAAUUGAGGGGUGGAACGGCUUUCCUCACACACUUAAUUUCCGAAACUUCCUCCUGGCCGUUCUCUUCUCGGAUUCGAAGAGCCACUGUAAAGGCCUUAUUUGUAACAGCGUUUUAUUGUGUCUUGAGUGGGUCUAUUAUAAAUCCCACAAAAUUCAGGUGGGCAAGGCCUACUCAAUGGAGAAGAGUAAAAGAUAUUUAUUGUUCACCUUUAUGGUGGCUCUACUGGAAACUGAAACUUGGCCCUGCGCUGGGUUUCAGAUACUACAGUACACGAGUAGUAAUUUGAUGGCAAAUGAAAUGAUUACACAUGAUGUGACAUGCAAAGUCAGGAGGUUAGGUUAGGUUUAGGGCCCGUUUGUUCUUUCUACAGACUGAUUACGCAUGAUGUGACAUGCAAAGUCAGGAGGUUAGAUUAGGUUUAGGGCCCGUUUGUUCUUUCUACAGACUAACUAUCACCACUCACAUCAACCUACACCUAUCAACCUCACAGGAAUGGAACCACUAUUAAUCUCGUUCAGGAUCGAUCAACACGGCUCCCUACCUCGGGCUACGUGGCAAUAUUCCCGAAAAAUGUCGAAUCAGAGCGAUGCCGCGCCUUGUAUACUCCGCAAUUUUAUAUAACCGUGAUUCCCUUGAACUGGAGGAAGAAAGAAAGCUGUUAGAGGAAUGUAAAGUAAAGGAAAUUAAAACCCAUAUAACGCCCCGCGAGGCACAAACGUUUAUCGUGAAUUUAGUGGCCACAUUACCGAAACCGUCGGUCACUACAAUAGUGAGCUUGGUGGCUAAACUUUCCCUAGAAAGAGCAAA